CGUGUGUUGACUUCAGUCAUCGAUUUCGCGUAUUUUCAUUGCAAAGAUGCCCAGGAAAAAGAAAGUUUUCAUCAGCAGUCGCCGGAAGGGCUACUCAAAGUGGGGUCCGAGACAACAAGGUUUCUAGAGAUGCACUGUGGGACAAAGCAUGGAAGUCAUUCUUCAUUGACCUCACCGAUGAACCCACAGAUACCCCAUGCCUGGAAGAAGCGACAGAUUCUGAUGGUUGUUCGGCUGAUGAAUUCUUUGGGUUUAUUUGACACAAUUCACCAGUAUCAUCCGGACAACAAUGUAGAUGAAUUUGUUGAUGGCAUCCUGCGAUACCAGCAAUAUUUAACAUUAAAAAAGGAGCUGUUUCAGCAUGUAGAUGAGCUAGGCAAUUUUACAAUUGCAAGAAACAAGCGUGAAAACAUUACUAUUGUGCAGUUUUAUGACUGACGUAGGCUCAGUCCAGCUUUCAGUAGUCAUCAAGCCAUCCUUUACAUCAGCAAUAUAUGCAUU